UACGUAGGGGGCAAGCGUUGUCCGGAAUCAUUGGGCGUAAAGCGCGUGUAGGCGGCUUGGUAAGUCUGCUCUGAAAGCCCGGGGCUCAACCCCGGGAGGCGGGUGGAUACUGUCAAGCUCGAGUCCGGAAGAGGAGUGUGGAAUUCCUGGUGUAGCGGUGAAAUGCGCAGAUAUCAGGAGGAAUACCGGUGGCGAAGGCGGCAUCCUGGACCGACAUUGACGCUGAUGAGCGAAAGCUAGGGGAGCAAACGGG
rnacentral:rRNA from 1 species